rnacentral:rRNA from 1 species
UACGUAGGUGGCAAGCGUUACUCGGAAUCACUAGGCGUAAAGCGCAGGUAGGCGGUUUGGUAAGUCUUUUGUGAAAGCUCCCGGCUCAACUGGGAGAGGUCAAAGGAAACUACUAGGCUAGAGUGUGGUAGGGGAUACUGGAAUUCCUGGUGUAGCGGUGAAAUGCGUAGAUAUCGGGAGGAACACCAAUGGCGAAGGCAGCUCGCUGGGACGUUACUGACGCUGAGACGCGAAAGCGUGGGGAGCAAACAGG